rnacentral:rRNA from 1 species
GGGAUGAGCUCAAUUUGAAUCUGGCGUCUUUCAGGCGUCCGAGUUGUAAUCUAUAGAGGCGUUUUCCGCGCCGGACCGCGUCCAAGUCUCUUGGAAUAGAGUAUCAAAGAGGGUGACAAUCCCGUACUUGACGCGACAACCGGUGCUCUGUGAUACGUUCUCAAUGAGUCGAGUUGUUUGGGAAUGCAGCUCUAAAUGGGUGGUAAAUUCCAUCUAAGGCUAAAUAUUGGCGAGAGACCGAUAGCGAACAAGUACCGUGAGGGAAAGAUGAAAAGCACUUUGGAAAGAGAGUUAAACAGCACGUGAAAUUGUUAAAAGGGAAACGAUUGAAGUCAGUCGUGUGGGAAGUAUUCAGCCGUCUCUGGCGGUGUAUUUGCUUCUCACGGGUCAACAUCAGUUUGAUCCGGUAGAAAAAGGCGGGAAGAAGGUGGCACCCUCGGGUGUGUUAUAGCUUCCUGUCAUAUGUGCCGGACCAGACUGAGGAACGCAGCUUGCAGCAAUGCCGGGGUUCGCCCACGUACAAGCUUAGGAUGUUGACAUAAUGGCUUUAAACGACCCGUCUUGA